rnacentral:lncRNA from 10 species
CAGUAUAGUCGCCUGAGUGGUGGUGGCCAUUAUAACAGCUUCUCCCCAGACCUGGCUCUGGACUCACCAGGCACUGACCACUUUGUCAUCAUUGCCCAACUGAAGGAAGAAGUGGCUACCCUGAAGAAGAUGUUGCAUCAAAAGGAUCAAAUGAUUUUAGAGAAAGAGAAGAAGAUUACAGAGUUGAAGGCUGAUUUUCAGUACCAGGAAUCGCAGAUGAGAGCCAAAAUGAACCAGAUGGAGAAAACCCACAAAGAAGUCACAGAACAACUGCAGAGAUGGGCUCUCGCUAUAUUGCCUGGGCUAGUCUUGAACUCCUGGCUUCAAGCAAUCCUCCCACCUCAACCUCACAAAGUGCUAGGAUUACAGGCGUGAGCCACCAUGCCCAGCCUGUAGAUACUUUGUAUUGUUUCACUCUUGGAUGUGUUCUGAUCUUUUCCCCUCAAAAACAGUAGAAUUAUUAAGUAUGUUCUUUGAUUUUUGAAUAAACCAGAUGUGAUUCCA